rnacentral:rRNA from 2 species
UUUAGAACACGAAGUGGUUGAUGCCAUGCUUCCAAGAAAAGCUUCUAAGCUUCAGGUAACCAGGAACCGUACCCCAAACCGACACAGGUGGUUGGGUAGAGAAUACCAAGGCGCUUGAGAGAACUCGGGUGAAGGAACUAGGCAAAAUGGCACCGUAACUUCGGGAGAAGGUGCGCCGGUGAGGGUGAAGCAUUUACUGCGUAAGCCCAUGCCGGUCGAAGAUACCAGGCCGCUGCGACUGUUUAUUAAAAACACAGCACUCUGCAAACACGAAAGUGGACGUAUAGGGUGUGACGCCUGCCCGGUGCCGGAAGGUUAAUUGAUGGGGUUAGCGCAAGCGAAGCUCUUGAUCGAAGCCCCGGUAAACGGCGGCCGUAACUAUAACGGUCCUAAGGUAGCGAAAUUCCUUGUCGGGUAAGUUCCGACCUGCACGAAUGGCGUAACGAUGGCGGCGCUGUCUCCACCCGAGACUCAGUGAAAUUGAAAUCGCUGUGAAGAUGCAGUGUAUCCGCGGCUAGACGGAAAGACCCCGUGAACCUUUACUAUAGCUUUGCACUGGACUUUGAAUUUGCUUGUGUAGGAUAGGUGGGAGGCUUUGAAGCGUGGACGCCAGUCUGCGUGGAGCCAACCUUGAAAUACCACCCUGGCAACUUUGAGGUUCUAACUCAGGUCCGUUAUCCGGAUCGAGGACAGUGUAUGGUGGGUAGUUUGACUGGGGCGGUCUCCUCCUAAAGAGUAACGGAGGAGUACGAAGGUGCGCUCAGACCGGUCGGAAAUCGGUCGUAGAGUAUAAAGGCAAAAGCGCGCUUGACUGCGAGACAGACACGUCGAGCAGGUACGAAAGUAGGUCUUAGUGAUCCGGUGGUUCUGUAUGGAAGGGCCAUCGCUCAACGGAUAAAAGGUACUCCGGGGAUAACAGGCUGAUACCGCCCAAGAGUUCAUAUCGACGGCGGUGUUUGGCACCUCGAUGUCGGCUCAUCACAUCCUGGGGCUGAAGCCGGUCCCAAGGGUAUGGCUGUUCGCCAUUUAAAGUGGUACGCGAGCUGGGUUUAGAACGUCGUGAGACAGUUCGGUCCCUAUCUGCCGUGGACGUUUGAGAUUUGAGAGGGGCUGCUCCUAGUACGAGAGGACCGGAGUGGACGAACCUCUGGUGUUCCGGUUGUCACGCCAGUGGCAUUGCCGGGUAGCUAUGUUCGGAAAAGAUAACCGCUGAAAGCAUCUAAGCGGGAAACUUGCCUCAAGAUGAGAUCUCACUGGAACCUUGAGUUCCCUAAAGGGCCGUCGAAGACUACGACGUUGAUAGGUUGGGUGUGUAAGCGCUGUGAGGCGUUGAGCUAACCAAUACUAAUUGCCCGUGAGGCUUGACCAUAUAACACCCAAGCAAUU